rnacentral:lncRNA from 1 species
GUAGGAAUGUCCAUCACUUAGCACAUCCUUCAACUCAGUUCUUGGCCGGAGGGUGGUAGAUCGGAGUCGGGGACCCAUACGUGGGCGUGGGUGAACUGUAUUUAGGCGUUGGGGGGUGGUAUUCUGGCUGAGGUUUGGGCUCCGGCUUUGGCUUAGGAGGCACUGGUUUCUUGUGGAAGUGGUCAAAGAAGUGGUGGUGCUCAUGAUCCUUGUGGAAGUGGUCAAGCCAGUGCUUCUUGUUGAACAAGUCUUUAGCAGGAGGAUGGUAGAUUGGAGUAGGAGACCCAUAUGUAGGUGUUGGGGGGUGGUACUCUGGCUGCGGCUUGGGCUCUGGCUUCGGUGGAACAGGCUUCUUGUGGAAGUGGUCGAAGAGUUGGUGGUGGUCGUGGUCCUUGUGGAAGUGACCAAGCAACUUGGCAAACAAGUGCCUAGCUGGAGGGUGGUAGAUUGGUGUAGGAGACCCGUAUGUGGGUGUUGGCGACCCAUAUGUUGGCGUUGGGGGAUGGUACUCUGGCUGAGGCUUGGGCUCUGGUUUGGGCUGCGGCUUAGGUUCCGGCUUCGGCUUUGGCGGUAUGGGCUUCUUGUGGAAGUGGUCGAAGAAGUGGUGGUGAUCGUGGUCCUUGUGGAAGUGACCAAGCAACUUGGCAAACAAGUGCCUAGCUGGAGGGUGGUAGAUCGGUGUCGGAGACCCGUAUGUUGGUGUUGGGGGAUGGUACUCUGGCUGAGGCUUAGGCUCUGGCUUCGGCUGCGGCUUAGGUUCCGGCUUCGGCUUCGGCGGCAUGGGCUUCUUGUGGAAAUGGUCAAAGAAGUGGUGGUGGUCGUGGUUCUUAUGGAAGUGAUCAAACAAGUGCUUCUUGUCGAACAACUGCCUUGCUGGAGGAUGGUAGAUCGGAGUUGGGGAUCCAUAUGUGGGCAU